UAGAGGAAGUAAAAGUCGUAACAAGGUCUCCGUAGGUGAACCUGCGGAGGGGAUCAUUACCGAAGUUCAUGCCCUUACGGGUAGAUCUCCCACCCUAUGUUAUCUUACCUUUGUUGCUUUGGCGGGCCGACAGGCUUCGGUCAGUCUACCGGCUCCGGCUGGUAAGCGCCCGCCAGAGGACCCCAAACUCUGAAUUUUAGUGUCGUCUGAGUACUAUCUAAUAGUUAAAACUUUCAACAACGGAUCUCUUGGUUCUGGCAUCGAUGAAGAACGCAGCGAAAUGCGAUAAGUAAUGUGAAUUGCAGAAUUCAGUGAAUCAUCGAAUCUUUGAACGCACAUUGCGCCCCUUGGUAUUCCGAGGGGCAUGCCUGUUCGAGCGUCAUUACAACCCUCAAGCUCUGCUUGGCAUUGGGCUCCGCGGCUUACCC
rnacentral:misc_RNA from 1 species